AGUUUCAAAUACUUAAAGUGGUAUUUUAGUGUACUUCUGAAAAGUACACUUUGUUUCAAGUCCUUUGUAAUACACUAUUAAAAUGCUUUUUUAGAGUGUAAUUUAAUUUCACUUCAUUAGAAGUGUAUUUAAGUGUACUUCCAUGAAGUGCACUUUAAUGCAAAUACUUUUUAAGCUGUAUUUCAGUGUACUUAGAAAAAGUAUACUAAGUUGCACAUACUUAAAGUGGUACUUUAGUGUACUUCUGAAAAGUACACUUCAUUUCAAGUCCUUUGUAAUACACUAUUAAAAUGCUUUAUCAAAGUAUACUUAAAUUUCCCUUUAUUAGUAGUGUAUUUAAGUAUACUUCCUUACAGUUCACUUUAAUGCAAGUUAAUUUUAAGCUGUAUUUCAGUGCACUUAGAAAAAGUAUACUAAAUUGCAAAAACUUAUAGUUGUCAUUCAGUGUGAUUCUGAAAAGUACACUUAGUAAUACACUAUUAACAUGCUUCAUUUUUAGUAUACUUUAAUUUCACUUCAUUAGAAGUUUAUUUAAGUAUAUUCAUACAUCAUCACAACCAAAGUGUUGAAUUAAUCAAAAAAAUACAGAUAAAUAAUACUGAAAUGGCUACUUUUACUAGCUCCAACGACUAACUAUUAAAGAAAAUCCAAGGCUAUAACCAAAAUUUGAAAAUAGCAAGUUUAUAACGGCCAUCCAAUCAGUGUGCGGCUGCAAAUCGACGUCCAAUGAGAAUGUAGUAUUUAGGUCGCCAAUUGGUGGUUUACUCAAAUACACUUGGCGCGGACGGUUAGUGUUCCAUUUGAAAUUGAGCAGUGAGCACCUAAUAUCUCCGGGUCAAACAAUGACAGUGUUUGGUUUGUUUUAUUUCCAAGACGGCUCCGUUAGAGCAGAUAAUACAUCCGUCAUACGUGAUGCAUACAGAAAUAAAAAAAUAACGGUUAACUGCAGGGAAGACCUCGAGUCGGAGCAGGGCUGGAUAGAGGUAAUUUGGCCUACACAACGGCGACAACAAGAGGCGAAGCCUAUUGCAGCCAAAUUGCUUUUCUUUGGAGACACGGUGAGGGAGAAAUUCCCCAACACCAUGGUUAGUGAGAUCCGGGCCCUGCUGCGGAGGAAAUGCAAUAAUGAGGGCUACACCAAGGUUGCUCCUCAGUAGCUUUAUUAUAUAUGUUAUAUAUGUCAGAUGUUUUAAAGUUAGGUGUUAUUGAAUGCAUGUUUGUAUUAAUAUUUAAAUUAAAGUUUUGGUUUGUACAAUUUAAGUGUUUUUUGUCAUGGAACAAAAUAGCACCCAUGGAGUGUACUAAAAUGGUACCAGAAAGAAGUGCAUGUGAAGUAUAAUAUGUAUUGUAAGUAUAUUUCUGUAGUAUUUAUAAAGUACUUAGUAGUAUAACAGUAUUGUACUUAAAAUACCCUUAAUAUACGCUUCCACUUUACAUUAUAGUAUAAUAACUAUACUUUAAGUACAUGCCUUUGAUGCUUAAAUUGUGACACAAAUUGACUAUAAAUACAUAAUAAAUGCAUUUUUAGUUACAUAAUUGCACACUUUAAAAGUACUAAAUAUAGUCAGAAAGUGUACUUGAAUUUAAUUAGAAAUAUGACAGAGGAAUGAUAAUAGUGUGUUAAAAAUACACUUCUAUUAUGUAGUAUAAGCAGUGAUAAAAUACACUCAAUAUACACUUCUGCUCCUCUUUAGAGUAUAAUAACAUUGUACUUAAAGUGCAUGCCUUUGAUGCUGCAAUUGUGAUAGAAAUGUACUAUAAAUACAUUUUAAUUAACAUAAUGGCAGACUUAAAAAGUACUAAAUAUAGUCAGAAAGUGUAUUUGAAUUUAAUUUGAAAUAUGACAGAAGUAUGAUAAUAGUGUGUUCAAAAUAUACUUAUAUACUACUAUCAAUUGAACCAUACUGCCUUUUUAAGUAUAUUUCAAACACACUGGUAAUAUAAUGCUAUUGUACUGCAAGAGUGUUUCAAAUGCUAGAAAUCAUACUUUUCACUAGUGUACUUCAGUACACUUAAAGGUUGUCAAAAGUUGUGCAAUUUUAGCAUACUAUUUACACUUGGAGUAUACUGGAGUAUAUCUAUAGUAGUACUUAAGGUAUACCUUAGUACACUUUGGUAUACUUGAAUGCGACGAAAUUAGUACAGAAUACAGUUACAUACUAAAAGUGGACUUAGUACAUCCUUUCAAAAGUGUCGUUGAAGUAUAAUAUUUUUUCACCUGGGAUGGUUCUUUGAAUGAUCGUACAUAACAAUCUCUAGGUGGUGAAGAAGUAAAUGCUGCGUCACGUUUAGCUACACACUUUUUCCAUCUAAUUUCGACUGGGUUUUGGGAUUAUCGGUGCCGUUAAAGUAGUAAACGGCACCGACGUAAAAACCCAGUCACAGCAGUCAUGUGGUUGACUGAAAACGAGGGAGGCAUCUGAUUGGCUAGUGACUUCCUUGUUGAAAAAAAUGCAUUUGUGAAUCUAGCGACGUCAGGAGAGUCUCAAAAAUCCACACAUAGGCCUAAAUACAGACCAGUUCCCACACAAAUGCAAGUAAGUUCACAAAUGAAAAACGUCUUGUAAAUACAAGUUUAACAGUUUGUAUAUAAAUGUUACAACAUCCAAAUACAUUGUGAUGAAAAUUGCAAAUAUUUUUUUAAUUAAUAUAUUUAUGGAUUUAUAUUACAUUUAUUUAAAACAAGGUACAUUUGUGUUUGGAUCAGAAAUGUGUUUGUGAAACUUAUUUUUGUUUAUGGAUUUAUUUUACAUUUAUACAUACCGAUAUCCAUUUAUGUGUGCAUUGAAAUGUAUUUGUGGGAAGAGAGUAGGCUAAUUUAUAUAUAAAUCACAAAAUACAUUUGUGAAUCCUUCUCUGUGCAUUCAUUAUUAAUGAGACUGUUCUGACCCCAUAUCA
rnacentral:lncRNA from 1 species